CUCUCAUUUACGCUCAUAUGUUCAGUUUUACUUCGGCUAAUCUUCAUUCCUCUCCUUUCCAGUGCGUACCUCCUCUUCCCAUCAACUCCAUGAUAAAAUAAUUUAAACACUGCAUCUAAACUUCGAGCCUUACUCCCAUUCCAGUUGCUCUCUUGGAUGCACAAUAUAUCAACCUUUCUCCUAAUCAUGUCAACUAACUCCUGAGCUUUUCCUGUCAUCGUCCCAACAUUCAAAGUCCCUACAGACAGCUGUAGGUCUUGUGCAUUCCCCUUUUUCUUCUUCUGACUAAGCCCCUUUCCUCCUCUUUUUUCUUCUUUUCUUCGACCUACAUUAUCUGAAUUUCUACCUAUGCCUUGUAGAUUAACAUUUCUAUGUGCGGGUGUCGGAAGCCCGGGCCAUGACCUAACUGUUGUAGAAUUCGCAUGAUGAACGCUCAUAUAUGUUUGGCACAGUUUUACGGCCGAUGCCCUUCCUGACGCAACCCUCUGCAUUUAUCCGGGCUUGGGACAGGCCGACAGGUAGCACAAUAUUGUGCUGCCCAACGGGCUGCAGAGUCUGGCUGCAGGCCUCACCUCGCAUCUCAAGUCCCAUCCUGCAGACCCCCAACUGCCAUCGUCAGGCAGGGAACAAAGUAGGACCAUUUGAAAAUUGUGUCCAUUUCUGUUUCAGCGUUUAAGGAACUCAGAUGAAUAUUUUCUAGAUAAUCAUUAAUUUCCGGUUUCAGCAUUAAAGCAUUUCAUAUACAGCACUGCACACUUCAUUAACAGACUCCUUUCAUUCCUGGUUGAAGUGUUUUAUUCUUUUAUUAAUAAAUUAGUGACUACUUAAAAUGGGUAGAAGUGAAGAUGAUGAUGACUCUUCAAUCAAUCUACCAUUGAUGUUUUCAUGGAAUGGAAGGAAACCAGAGGUCCCAGCCACCAUCACAUUUUCCUUGUCACAGGUGACUCCCAGCCAAGAUGGCGCCGCAAGUAGACCGGAAAGCGCUGCGGCGCACCACAGCAGAACUGCAAACAAGUUAGUUGUCAUGAUGAGAAUGAAGAACUGAAAACAGCACACAUUGCACAAGACCCAUCCGGACUUUACCCAGACUGAGGACCAAUCACAGUGGAGGACAAAUGCACAACACCUGUGUCCUAAUUAGUGAUGGUUGCCAUUUCAUCAAUCACCUUCAUUCACCUCAGCUGAGCACUUUUGGAAAGAAAACAUUAACUGGAGUAUCAGUUUUAAAAAUACAGGAUGUCCCAAAAAAAAAUGUAUACACACUUUGAAUAAUGAUAUUUGGAAAUUCUUUUACAUGUUAAAAAUGAUUUGAAUUAUAUAGACGUCAGGUUUACAAUUAUUUAAAGUGUGCAUAAAUUUUUUUGGACACCUUAUACUGUAGAUACUGUCUACGUUUUUGGAGGAAAAUAUGAACAUCCAUCCAUCCCUUUUCUUUGCCACUUGUCCUCACGAGGGUCACGGGAGUGCUGGAGUCCAUCCCAGCUGUUAUCGGGCAGGAGGCAGGGUACACCCUGAACUGGUUGCCAGCCAAUCACAGGGCACAUAGAGACAAAGAGCCACACUCCCAAUCACAGCUAAGGGGAAUUUAGCAUCCAAUUAAUGUUGCAUGUUUUAGGGAUGUGGGAGGAAACCGGAGUGCCCGGAAAAAAAAACCCCACACAGGCAAGGGGAGAACAUGGAAACUCCACACAAGCGGGUCCAAGAUUGAACCCGGGACCUCGGAACUGUGAGGUCAACGCUUUACAGCUGCUCCACCGUGCCGCCAUCUUUUAAGCAAUAUGAGUGAAUCACAACCAACCUUAUCACUGAGUCAAGGAAACCGUGAAAAUUUUAUUGCAUUUGGUUCCAUCCAUUGAAAAAAAAGUGGAAUGAAGUUACUUUUUAUUCCAAAAUGCUGAGGUCCAGGGUAUACUCUUCAAAAUAAGAGUGUAGAAAAUUUUUGAGGGAGGGGGGAACAAAAUGGCAUUUCCAAUCAUAAAGCAAGAAGAUUUUCAUUUUUUGUUUUGAGGUACAAGUGAAUUACUUUUCACAGUAAUCCUUGAAUAAGAAAUGGUGAGUUGACCAAGUCGAGAAUCAGAAAGCCAAGUUGAAUAAACAGUAAACUGCCAUCAAUCGUGUUCUUUCAUCAAGUAGGAAAGAACCCUGAGUCACCACAGUUAUCUGCCUCGUCCAAGACGGUCCAGACGGAGUCUGCGUAUCAACAGGAAGUGGAGCGACUGGAGCUGAGCAUGUUUUCCCAGUUCCAAUCCAUUUGGAUUCUUUUUGGGGUCUUGGGCAAAGUUUGCAUUGUUUAAACGGUGUCUCAAUUAUGGACUCUGAUCCUACAGUAUAGACUAAAAUGAACAUUAGACCUGGUUCUCAAGCAGUGUCAAUCUCAAACCUAUGAACCAAAAGGCAGCGUGUGUGGGAAAAAAAACUCAUUUAUGUUUCAACUAAGUUAAAUAGCAUUGAAAUUAAUUGUGACUGUUAGAUCACAUUAACUUCCUGUUUUAAGCUGGUAGACUUGAAGUAGAAUCCGCUUGUUCACGGUUGCAUAGUUGGUUGUUGACGGCGCCUUGUCAUCGAGUAAUGUACAAUUUAUGAGCAAACAAAUUUAAAGUUGAUACUCUGAAUACAAGUAAAUAAGCAAAUUCAA